GGAAGGAUCAUUAUUGAAUAAACUUGUGCAGGCUGUUGCUGGCCCCUUGGGGUAUCGUGCACGCUUGUCAUCUUUAUCUCUCCCACUGUGCACAUAUUGUAGACCCUGGAGAUGUGAUUGUUCAUAUGAAUAGAUUGAGGACUGCUGUAAAAAACAAGCUUUUCCUUGCUUCUUUUCAGGUCUAUGUUUUAUACAAUCUCUAAAACAUGUCUAGAAUGUUGAAUUGGGUCUUUGUACCUAUAUAAAGUUUAAAUAUACAACUUUCAGCAACGGAUCUCUUGGCUCUCGCAUCGAUGAAGAACGCAGCGAAAUGCGAUAAGUAAUGUGAAUUGCAGAAUUCAGUGAAUCAUCGAAUCUUUGAACGCAUCUUGCGCUCCUUGGUAUUCCGAGGAGCAUGCCUGUUUGAGUGUCAUUAAGUUCUCAACUACACUAGUUUUAUCAAUUGGUGUGGCUUGGAUUGUGGGGGAUUUGUUUGCAGGCUUUAAAAUUUUGAAGUCUGCUCCCCUGAAAUGUAUCAGUAGUAUCUGAGCAGGAACUACUACAGGCGUGAUAAUUAUCUAUGCCUCAGUGGACUUGCAUAAACAGAUUAGACUGCUUCUAACAAGUGAAAACUUUCACCUUUGACAAAUUUGACCUCAAAUCAGGUAGGACUACCCGCUGAACUUAAGCAUAUCAAUAAGCGGAGGAAAAGAAACUAACAAGGAUUCCCCUAGUAACUGCGAGUGAAGCGGGAAGAGCUCAAAUUUGAAAUCUGGCAG
rnacentral:rRNA from 1 species